rnacentral:rRNA from 1 species
GUGUCAGCCGCCGCGGUAAGACGAAGGUGGCGAGCGUUGUUCGGAAUCACUGGGCAUAAAGCGCACGUAGGUGGCGGCGUAAGUCGGGUGUGAAAUCCCUCGGCCUAACCGAGGAACUGCGCCCGAUACUGCGUUGCUUGAGGGUCAAAGGGGUGCAUGGAAUUCCCGGUGGAGCGGUGAAAUGCGUUGAUAUCGGGAGGAACGCCGGCGGCGAAAGCGGUGCACUGGUUGACUUCUGACACUCAUGUGCGAAAGCCAGGGGAGCAAACGGGAUUAGAAACCCGUGUAGUCC